rnacentral:rRNA from 1 species
AUUGAACGCUGGCGGCAGGCCUAACACAUGCAAGUCGAGCGGAUGAGUGGAGCUUGCUCCAUGAUUCAGCGGCGGACGGGUGAGUAAUGCCUAGGAAUCUGCCUGGUAGUGGGGGACAACGCUUCGAAAGGAACGCUAAUACCGCAUACGUCCUACGGGAGAAAGCAGGGGACCUUCGGGCCUUGCGCUAUCAGAUGAGCCUAGGUCGGAUUAGCUAGUAGGUGAGGUAAAGGGUGACCUAGGCGACGAUCCGUAACUGGUCUGAGAGGAUGGUCAGUCACACUGGAACUGAGACACGGUCCAGACUCCUACGGGAGGCAGCAGUGGGGAAUAUUGGACAAUGGGCGAAAGCCUGAUCCAGCCAUGCCGCGUGUGUGAAGAAGGUCUUCGGAUUGUAAAGCACUUUAAGUUGGGAGGAAGGGCAGUAAGUUAAUACCUUGCUGUUUUGACGUUACCAACAGAAUAAGCACCGGCUAACUUCGUGCCAGCCGCCGCCGUAA